GAGAAUUGUUCAACUAAAAAAUUUGAUUAAAGAAUUUUCUUGAAAAAUUAAUUUGGAAAUUCUUAGUGAUUUUUGGGAACAUUAAUUUUGAUAAAAUAAAAUAAAUAAAAUUAAUAUAAUAUUUUCGAAAAUUAAUUUUCAAGUCAGAAAAUUGGCACAAUGGGUAAUUGAUUUUGAAAAUUGGACCUAAGAUAAAAAAAAUUGGGCCCAAGAAC
rnacentral:lncRNA from 1 species